UCAAUAGAUUAAAUGUCGUGACUAUAACACGAAAUGCCGUGAGACAGGGUUGGUGUUUCUCUCUCUCUCACUCUUAUACAUACAUUCUCAUAAAUGUACAGCUGCAAAAACACAAAUUGUUUAGCUAAUAGGAAGCUGGCAUUGAGCCUUUAAAGUGAUUGUAGUAGCUCCUCAAGCUGAGUCGAAGUUCAACCCCAUGGAUAUGUUAAAUGAGGGAACACAGAUCUUUAUAAGAUUGGGCAUUAGACGUUACCUCAGUUCAUCCCUCAUGCUUCGUCUUAUUUCUCCACCCAUGUUUCUUCCUUUUUCUCCAUCAAUGUUUUUCAAAGCUUCUUGGCUGAUGUUUGAGGGUUGAGCUGCAGCAAUGCUGGGGAAAGAGAAACACAGACCAGGCUUCUCUUCAUUCCAAGUGCAAUCUCUGAGACAUCUCUCUUGUUGAAGGGCGGUGGAGAGGGGAGGGAAAGUGAGCAAGCCGUCUGACCCCAUAAGACUGGACUCCGUCAACCAUGCAUCGACCACAAGCAUUGGUCUCAACUGCUCAUGUCAGAUGUUAUAAAGUGCCCAUGUAGGCCUCAUGAAGGACCCCUGUGUGCCAUCACUAAUAAAGGGCCUCUAUUUCCCCACGACGACUCACACAGUGGUCUGGCCCUGGGCUCAAUCCUAAAAAUAUAGAAACAUACAUAUGCAAUUUAGUAAUUGGUAUAUUUGUUUCAUAGAUAAUUCAUGCACAUUCACUGAAGCUCAGUCAAGAGAUUUUUCAGAGGAGGAAUAAAAAAAGGGGGGGGAAAGACUGCACUUGACAGGUUUUAAUCAAAACGAUUCAUUACAGCUUUACAGUCUGACAGCAGCACUAAAAUAGGCAGUCUUCUAACCCAUUUUUUUUCAGACGGCAUUGGGAUGAGGUUGGGAACAUGUUGGUCAGCAAUGUUGUUUACGGAACUGCCAAGCACAUCAAUUAAUCUUCACUCCCUGUGAGUUGACAUAUUGUCAAAAUAGUAGCACUUAAUCAGUGAGAUUUCCCAAAGGGACAAAAUGUACAGAGCAAACAGCAACACUCGAGCUCGGUUCAUACCUCCCACGACUUACAACAGAGGAUUUGUGUCCAAAAGCACUUCUGGCACAUGAAAUGAAGGAGCUGUAUGGAAAGCCAGGCUAACCAGCCCUAUACUGCUUUGUGUGGGGGGGAAAGGUGGGAGCAAUAGGCUUUAUAACUAGACGUUUUUUAAGGAAUCAAACAACUAUUAUGAAUCCAGCACUUUUAUUUUAAAGGGGACAUACAUGCUCUUGUUCAAAUGUGUCUCUACAGUGACAUGUUUACAUGCUUUAAUGUUCUAAAAGUGCUUUAUUUUUCCCAUACUGCCUGUGCUGCAGCACCUCUUUUCACCCUCUGUCUGAAACCAGAGCCCAGUCUGCAAUGAUUGGUUGGCUGGCCUGCUCUGUUGUGAUUGGUCAACCGCUUAAGAAUGUCAGAAAUGUCCUGUGCCUUAGCCUAUCGCGUACAAUGUUCUGGAGUGCUAGCCAAUUGAUGCGUUUGUGUAGUGAUGUCACUAUGUUACGUAUUUAAACAAAGGAGUGUUGUUAAUGCUUUCUGUUUUUUUUACUUUCACUUAUAUAUUUUAACAUAUUCUAUCUUUUUAUUUUAUUUUUGCCUUAAAUGCCUGGCUUUUACGUAUUCCUUGUAAAGCACUUUAAGGUAAAAAAAAUGUCCAUAAAAAGAUUAAUAUUACUUAAUUAUAAUUGUUUGACCUAUUAUUAUUACUGUUAUGUGUAAUAGGGUUUGCUCAUAGUGAUAACCCUAAAGAGAAAUAUCACCUAGCCUCUUUCAGUUCAUUGUUUUGGUUCAUGACCCAAACUCAUAUCUCUCCACUCAAGCCUAAAAAGUAAAUGAGCAAAGAAGCUCUAAAAACAGACUGACACUGAUAGACAGCCUGCCGGACGGUAGCUGGUUAACAUAGUGCAGUGUUUCUCAAAGUGGGGGGCGCGUCCCUCCUGGGGGGCGCAGAGGCAUGAUAGGGGGCGCAAGAGACGCCACUGAG